rnacentral:tRNA from 1 species
UAGCUCAAUGCUUGAGCGUUGGGUUUGAGAGCCACAGGUCGGUGGUUCGAGCCCACC